rnacentral:tRNA from 1 species
CAUUGAGUGACUGAAAUUUAAGUAUUGAUCUCUUAAAUCAAAUAUAGUAUUAAUAUACUCUUAAUGA